rnacentral:misc_RNA from 1 species
GGAAGGAUCAUUAACACGUACCCCCUAAUACGUACCAACCCAAUACCCACUCUAGUGUCGAACUACUGAGGCCUACUUCUCACGUGAGGGGAGCCAGCAAGCAAUUGCUUGCGAAGCUCCCUCCAACCCUGAACCUGAAUACUAAACAAUUCCCCAAAUCGGGGCAGGCAGCCAAACAGGGGAGCCAGAAGUGCCGGGGUCGCCUCCAUCAAACGAGGCACCCUUUAUUUGGUGUUCAGCUUGCCACGUUAACCUUUUUUUAAACCCCUUUUUGAAAUAACUAAACCUCGACUUACAACCUGCGGCUUUCGCUCUCCUUCAAACCGAGAGCGAGUCGUAUGAUAUUUAUUAACCUAAAUACAACUUUUAGCAAUGGAUAUCUUGGUUCUCGCAACGAUGAAGAACGCAGCGAAAUGCGAUACGUAAUGUGAAUUGCAGAAAUCCGUGAAUCAUCGAAUCUUUGAACGCAAAUGGCGCUCCUGGGUAGCCCGGGAGCAUGCCUCUUUGAGUAUCGGUUCACCCCUCUCCUCUUUCCCUCUUGCUUUCGAGCAGGGGGGAUAAGUAGGGCCAACAGUUGAGUGCUUCUGCCUUCUCUCUCGAGUCGGCAGUCACUUUAAAUUUUUGUUUAUCCACCGCCAGUAAAACAGGUCGGCCACUAACAAAAAGGUCUUGAGCCCUUCGCCAAAGUUUUGCAAAAAGCUUUGGGACUGGGCGCUUGACGGCAGAUAGAUCACCUCUGUGUGACCUAAAACAUCUUUCGUCUUGCGCACUCCACCAGUUGGCUUCAAGGCUUGUGGCUUUUUGUUUUUGCUGCUUGCGGUCGCUGCUCUGCCUGGCAUUGUCUCCCCACUUUUGUGUGUGAGGCGUGUCGGCAGCCAGCAAACUACCCCCAAAUAACCGUAUCUGAUCUCAAAUGAGGUAAGAGGACCCCCUGAACUUAAGCAUAUUAUUAAGGGGAGGAAAAGAAACUAACAAGGAUUCCCCCAGUAACGGCGAGUGAAGCGGGAAGAGCUCAACUUGAAAAUCGGACGACUUGCGCGUUCGAAUUGUAGUCUAGAGAAGUGUGGUCAGCGAGUGGCCCGGGCCUAAGUCCUUUGGAACAAGGCGUCAGAGAGGGUGAGAACCCCGUCUUUGGUCCGGUGUCUGCCGCGUACGACGCGCUUUCGAAGAGUCGGGUUGCUUGGGACUGCAGCCCUAAACGGAUGGUAAAUUUCAUCUAAAGCUAAAUACCGGCGAGAGACCGAUAGCGAACAAGUACCGUGAGGGAAAGAUGAAAAGAACUUUGAAAAGAGAGUUAAAAAGUGCUUGAAAUUGCUAAAAGGGAAGCGAUGGAAACCAGUCGUGUGCAGGGGGCAUUUCCCCUUGGCUCCCAAAGGCUCAGGCGGUCGACCGUAAGGCACGCCGUUUGAGCUGGAGGAUGGCCAGGGGUUCCUUGUCCCUUGCGAGUGUCAGGAUCAGCUCGUCGCCCGCAGCAGAACCGCUCGAGGAAGGUAGGUUGAAUCGGCCUUGUGCCGUGCAGACUGUUACAGACUCGAGGCCGGCGCUAGCGGGUCGGGCUGAGGCCGCUUCAACGCGGACAACGCGCGCCCUUCGGCGGGACCGCCCUCUCCUGGGAUGCCACGCCAGCAGAAUGCAAUGCAUUGUGUUGGUUGAAGAGUCUUACUGAGGGGGACCGGUCACCUGCGCGUUCGAGAUCCUGGCGAAAUGGUUUUCAUCGACCCGUCUUGAAACACGGACCAAGGAGUCUAACAUAUAUGCGAGUAUUUGGGUGACAAACCCUGAUGCGCAAUGAAAGUGAAGGCCAGCAGUUUCGCUGGCUGAGGUGUGAUCGCUUCCCUCGGGGGGCGUGCAACAUCGACCGAUCAGUCACUUGUGAAAGAUUUGAGUAAGAGCAUAUCUGUCGGGACCCGAAAGAUGGUGAACUAAGCCUGGACAGGGCGAAGCCAGGGGAAACUCUGGUGGAGGCUCGUAGCGAUACUGACGUGCAAAUCGUUCGUCUGAUCUGGGUUUAGGGGCGAAAGACUAAUCGAACCAUCUAGUAGCUGGUUCCCUC